rnacentral:lncRNA from 13 species
CCAGAGUGCGCAUGCACAGUAGUAAAACCGGGACACAGAGCAGAUAACUGGAGUGUCAUACCAUUCUGUUGGGGAGUAUCAUACCAUUCUGUUGGGAAUAACUAUUGGUAGUAAAGAGGUUUCAUUAUGGAUUUGAGAAGGGAUACCGUGGACAACAAUCCUGUGUUUCAGAUGUCCCUCAGUCGCCAUCAAGGAUGGAUCAAAGUGUCAGACGUGAGGAGUCCCCCAGCCUACUGGAUGUCGUGUGGUCACCCCUAUGACGAGAGGACCGUGUGGAACCCCAAGUUCUGUGUGGUCACUGACUGUCAGAUGCUGCUCCUGGACAAAGAGGAGGUACAUAUUGAGCUAGCACAUCAUUUCUCUCUCUGUACUGUAUUCUCCUCUCCUAAUUUUCUCUACUAUCCUCCUACUCCUCCCCCUCCUCCCACCAUCUGUCUUCUUCUCCUCUUCUCUCCCCCUCUCUCCUCCCUCUCCUUGCCUCUCUCCCGUCCUCUGUAAUAUUACUGCGCUGG